CUCCUGGCCAUCCUUCCCCCAGAGAUGGAGAGCUGGGUUCGGAUGUGGAGCGGAGACCACUUCCAAGCAGUGGCCUUGGCAGAGGGUUUCCUCCUGAGCCAGGCAGAGGAGACGAAACGGGAAAGAGGAGCAGGACGUAUUUGUGAAAGAGAUGGCUGAGAAGGAGAAGUGUCCUUUUGAAUCCAGUCCAAGGCAGGGGCCCAAGUGGAUCACGCAAGACACGAAGGAAGUGUCCUCUUCAAUGAG